rnacentral:rRNA from 1 species
CAAGUCGAACGGUAACAGGCCCGCAAGGGUGCUGACGAGUGGCGGACGGGUGAGGAAUACAUCGGAAUCUGCCCGGUUGUGGGGGAUAACGUAGGGAAACUUACGCUAAUACCGCAUACGACCGAAAGGUGAAAGCGUGGGAUCCGCAAGGACCUCGCGCAGCCGGAUGAGCCGAUGUCGGAUUAGCUGGUUGGCGGGGUAAAAGCCCACCAAGGCGACGAUCCGUAGCUGGUCUGAGAGGAUGAUCAGCCACACUGGGACUGCGACACGGCCCAGACUCCUACGGGAGGCAGCAGUGGGGAAUAUUGGACAAUGGGGGCAACCCUGAUCCAGCAAUGCCGCGUGUGUGAAGAAGGCCUUCGGGUUGUAAAGCACUUUUAUCCGGAACGAAACGCGCAGGGUGAACAGCCUUGUGAACUGACGGUACCGGAGGAAUAAGCACCGGCUAACUUCGUGCCAGCAGCCGCGGUAAUACGAAGGGUGCAAGCGUUACUCGGAAUUACUGGGCGUAAAGCGUGCGUAGGUGGUUUGUUAAGUCUGCUGUGAAAGCCCCGGGCUCAACCUGGGAAUGGCAGUGGAUACUGGCAAGCUAGAGUGCGGUAGAGGGGUGUGGAAUUCCCGGUGUAGCGGUGAAAUGCGUAGAGAUCGGGAGGAACACCAGUGGCGAAGGCGGCACCCUGGACCAGCACUGACACUGAGGCACGAAAGCGUGGGGAGCAAACAGGAUUAGAUACCCUGGUAGUCCACGCCCUAAACGAUGCGAACUGGACGUUGGGAGCAACUUGGCUCUCAGUGUCGAAGCUAACGCGUUAAGUUCGCCGCCUGGGGAGUACGGUCGCAAGACUGAAACUCAAAGGAAUUGACGGGGGCCCGCACAAGCGGUGGA